GGCAGCGCUCGCCAUUGAAUGACUUCUAGGUGCUCCGGGGCACAGAGCUACAGCGCCGCUACAAGCGGUGGUGCCCGGGCCUUGGCAGGAGGAUGUGGCAGAUGCUGAAGAGUGUGCUGGUCGCUGUGGGCCCUUAAUGGACUGCCGGGCGUUCCACUACAAUGUGAGCAGCCAUGGUUGCCAACUGCUGCCAUGGACUCAACACUCACCCCACACGAGGCUGCGGCAUUCUGGGCGCUGUGACCUCUUCCAGGAGAAAGACUACAUACGGACCUGCAUCAUGAACAAUGGGGUUGGGUACCGGGGCACCAUGGCCACGACCGUGGGUGGCCUGUCCUGCCAGGCUUGGAGCCACAAGUUCCCGAACGAUCACCAGUACAUGCCCACGCUCCGGAAUGGCCUGGAAGAGAACUUCUGCCGUAACCCUGAUGGCGACCCCGGAGGUCCUUGGUGCCACACAACAGACCCUGCCGUGCGCUUCCAGAGCUGCGGCAUCAAAUCCUGCCGGCCGCGUGUGUCUGGUGCAAUGGCGAGGAAUACCGCGGCGCGGUAGACCGCACCGAGUCAGGGCGCGAGUGCCAGCGCUGGGAUCUUCAGCACCCGCACCAGCACCCCUUCGAGCCGGGCAAGUACGCGUAGGCGGUAUCGGCGCCCUGGGGGCCGGGCUAGGGAAGGUCCAGGACUCCAGGGGCAGGGCUCCGUGUAGGGCAACUGGGCGGGGCCAGAUAAGCCAGAGUCCCAGGGUCUUCUUCACGCCCCAUUACCGCCCCCAGGUUCCUCGACCAAGGUCUGGACGACAACUAUUGCCGGAAUCCUGACGGCUCCGAGCGGCCAUGGUGCUACACUACGGAUCCGCAGAUCGAGCGAGAAUUCUGUGACCUCCCCCGCUGCGGUAGGCGGCGGGGACCAGGCCUGGGAGGGUACCUGGGAACCUUGGGGAGGGGCGUGGCUUGGCCGGGGAGGUCAGAGGGGCUGGGCGUGACCUGAGAGCAUAUCCCGUGGAGUACCGUACACCUGGGAAAGGCGGGUUUGGUCCCAGCCCCAGAGGGAUCUCAGCUGUCGCUCGGGGCCGGACCUAUCUCGGUCCAUCUAAGGGUCCGAGGCACAGCCCCGCCAAGAGGCCACAAGUGUCAGCUGCUUCCGCGGGAAGGGUGAGGGCUACCGGGGCACAGCCAAUACCACCACCGCGGGCGUACCUUGCCAGCGUUGGGACGCGCAAAUCCCGCAUCAGCACCGAUUUACGCCAGAAAAAUACGCGUGCAAGUGAGGUGGGGGGGCGGGCGUUGGGACGUGCUGCUGCGGGUGAGACGGGAGGAGGGUAGUCACGGGCUUAGGGCUGGAGGCUGGCGGGCUAGGGCUGAGUGCAGCGCCUGCUUAGAGACCUUCGGGAGAACUUCUGCCGG
rnacentral:lncRNA from 1 species